GACGAACGCUGGCGGCGUGCCUAAUACAUGCAAGUAGAACGCUGAAGAGAGGAGCUUGCUCUUCUUGGAAGAGUUGCGAACGGGUGAGUAACGCGUAGGUAACCUGCCUUGUAGCGGGGGAUAACUAUUGGAAACGAUAGCUAAUACCGCAUAACAAUGGGUGACCCAUGUCAUUCAUUUGAAAGGGGCAACUGCUCCACUACAAGAUGGACCUGCGUUGUAUUAGCUAGUAGGUGAGGUAACGGCUCACCUAGGCGACGAUACAUAGCCGACCUGAGAGGGUGAUCGGCCACACUGGGACUGAGACACGGCCCAGACUCCUACGGGAGGCAGCAGUAGGGAAUCUUCGGCAAUGGGGGCAACCCUGACCGAGCAACGCCGCGUGAGUGAAGAAGGUUUUCGGAUCGUAAAGCUCUGUUGUAAGUCAAGAACGAGUGUGAGAGUGGAAAGUUCACACUGUGACGGUAGCUUACCAGAAAGGGACGGCUAACUACGUGCCAGCAGCCGCGGUAAUACGUAGGUCCCGAGCGUUGUCCGGAUUUAUUGGGCGUAAAGCGAGCGCAGGCGGUUUGAUAAGUCUGAAGUUAAGGGCUGUGGCUCAACCAUAGUUCGCUUUGGAAACUGUCAAACUUGAGUGCAGAAGGGGAGAGUGGAAUUCCAUGUGUAGCGGUGAAAUGCGUAGAUAUAUGGAGGAACACCGGUGGCGAAAGCGGCUCUCUGGUCUGUAACUGACGCUGAGGCUCGAAAGCGUGGGGAGCGAACAGG
rnacentral:rRNA from 1 species